rnacentral:lncRNA from 1 species
AGGUGCUGCUGCCGCGGCCGCCAGGGAGGGAGGUGUCGGAGGGCGGGCCCCGCGCGGUGCUAGGGUUCCGUCUGGACUGGCGGUGGUGGGUCCCAACCGGCGGUACCGGGUUCCUUCCCGACCAGCGGUGCUAGGUUCGGUUCGGACGCGCGCUGCUGGAUCUAAAUGGGCAGUGCUGGGUCCGAUGGGUGGUGCUGUGUUGGGUCCGGACGCGCGGUGCAGAGUCCGGACGGGCGGUGCUGGAUCCAAAUGGGCGGUGCUGGAUCUGGACGGGCGGUGAUGGGUCCGAUGGGCGGUGCUAUGUUCGGUUCGGACGGGCGGUGCUAGGUCUAAAUGGGCGCUGCUGGGUCCGAUGGGCGGUGCUGCGUUCGGUCCGGACGGGCGGGGACGGGCGGUGCUGGGUCCAAACGGGCGGUGCUGGGUCCAGACGGGCGGUGGGUCCGAUGGGCGGUGCUAGGUUCGGUUCGGAUGGGUGGUGCUAGGUCUAAAUGGGCGGCGCCGGAUCCGAUGGGCGGUGCUGGGUUCGGUCCGGACUGGCGGGUCCGGGUCUGGACGGGCGGUGCUGGAUCCAAAUGGGGGUGCAGUGCUGGAUCUGGACGGGCGGUGCUGGGUCCGAACGGGCGAUGGGUCCCAUGGGCGGUGCUAGGUUCGGUUCGGACUGGCGGUGCUGGGUCUAAAUGGGCGGCGCUGGGUCCGAUGGGUGGUACUGGGUCCGGACGGGCGGUUCUGGGUCUGGACGGGCGGUGCAGUAUCCAAAUGGGCGCUGCUGGGUCCGGACGGGCGGUGCUAGGUUCGGUCCGGACGGGUGGUGCUGGGUCUAAAUGGGCGGUGCUAGGCUCAGCAGGGGACCGGUGGGCGUGGCGGCACAGGUACGGAGCGCAGGGCCGGUGGAGCGCCCUCUCCGAAGGGCCCUGCGCUCCCCGCGCUCGCUGCUCCUCCUGCCCGCGCAUUGCCCCGGGGCUGCUGCGUGUUUCUUCCAGGGUGAUUCCUUUCCGCUGGGUCACUUCAAAGCCGACCUUUUCAAGCUGUUUUCUUCCGCGGAGGACACGUUGUUAG